GCCCAGAUGGCGGAAUUGGUAGACGCGCACGGUUCAGGUCCGUGUGCCGCAAGGUGUGGUGGUUCGAGUCCUCUUCUGGGCACCA
rnacentral:tRNA from 1 species